CUUUUUAUCGUAAACAGAGCUUUAUAUGCCAUUAACCGACGACAAGGAUGGACGAAUUAAUCUUUUUUCUGAGGGAAAGGAAUAUUCCAGAAACCACCAUAAAAAGGCUGGAGGACGACAAGAUUGAUGUCAGUGUCCUACUGCUAAUGACUGAUGACCAGAUGAGAAGCUAUUUUCCUUCAUAUGGAGACAGACUCGCAGUGAUGGGGUUUUGCAGGAGGCAAGAAAGUGAGCCAACUUGCAGGAAGUCAAAGCUGUUUGAGCGCCUCAAAUCAAAAUUG